UCUCCGUUGGUGAACCAGCGGAGGGAUCAUUACCGAGUGCAAACUCAUAACCCUUUGUGAACCUAUAUCUGUUGCUUCGGCGGCUCGCUCUCGGGCGAGCCCGCCGGUAAUAUCAGUAUCUCUGUUUGAACCCGACGAUACUUCAGAGUGUUCUUAGCGAACAGUUAAAACUUUUAACAACGGAUCUCUUGGCUCUA
rnacentral:misc_RNA from 1 species